rnacentral:lncRNA from 1 species
ACGGUUUCAAUCCGCAUACAUAAUCAGCAACUAGAAGGUGAACUCACGAGCAAAAACAAAAAACAUGCAGUCGCCAGCUUACGUAUAAAGGGAAUCAUUUCAAUUCGAUUGUCCAACCAAGAAACAUCUCAGCACUUCCACAUUUCAAAUCAUCUGCUUCUGUCUACAAUCUUAAAAGCACAAUAAUGAAGGUAACUGUUUUGUCGAUUUUCCUGUUUAUUUCGGCCGUUUUAAUGACAAACGUGUCCGCUCGUGACUGGAAGGUUGGUGAGAACGGUUUAGUUCGCUGGGACACCAAUUGCCAUUAGUAAUAACAAUCAAAUCGGCAACAAGCCUAGCACCGGGGAACAAUGUGGAGGAGUCUGCAUCGCCAACAAUAAAUGUACUCACUUUGCUUAUGGGUUUGGAACCUGCUACAUGUUUGCAAACCCUGGAGGAGAAUCUGCCGCUGACGGUAGUUGGACUUGUGGUUUCGUAAUGGCUCGCAUUUAAUUGAGGAUGAAUAGUUGACCUGCUUUGAUGUUAAUAAAUAAAUGAUUUUAUCAUUCUAA